rnacentral:rRNA from 1 species
UACGGAGGGGGCUAGCGUUGUUCGGAAUUACUGGGCGUAAAGCGCGCGUAGGCGGACCUGCAAGUCGGGGGUGAAAGCCCGAGGCUCAACCUCGGAAUCUGCCUUCGAUACUGCGGGUCUCGAGUCCGGGAGAGGUGAGUGGAAUUCCUAGUGUAGAGGUGAAAUUCGUAGAUAUUAGGAAGAACACCAGUGGCGAAGGCGGCUCACUGGCCCGGUACUGACGCUGAGGCGCGAAAGCGUGGGGAGCAAACAGG